UNUGAAGUUAAAGGCUGUGGCUUAACCAUAGUACGCUUUGGAAACUGUUUAACUUGAGUGCAGAAGGGGAGAGUGGAAUUCCAUGUGUAGCGGUGAAAUGCGUAGAUAUAUGGAGGAACACCGGUGGCGAAAGCGGCUCUCUGGUCUGUAACUGACGCUGAGGCUCGAAAGCGUGGGGAGCGAACAGGAUUAGAUACCCUGGUAGUNCACGCCGUAAACGAUGAGUGCUAGGUGUUAGGCCCUUUCCGGGGCUUAGUGCCGCAGCUAACGCAUUAAGCACUCCGCCUGGGGAGUACGACCGCAAGGUUGAAACUCAAAGGAAUUGACGGGGGCCCGCACAAGCGGUGGAGCAUGUGGUUUAAUUCGAAGCAACGCGAAGAACCUUACCAGGUCUUGACAUCCCGAUGCCCGCUCUAGAGAUAGAGUUUUACCUCGGUACAUCGGUGACAGGUGGUGCAUGGUUGUCGUCAGCUCGUGUCGUGAGAUGUUGGGUUAAGUCCCGCAACGAGCGCAACCCUUAUUGUUAGUUGCCAUCAUUCAGUUGGGCACUCUAGCGAGACUGCCGGUAAUAAACCGGAGGAAGGUGGGGAUGACGUCAAAUCAUCAUGCCCCUUAUGACCUGGGCUACACACGUGCUACAAUGGCUGGUACAACGAGUCGCAAGUCGGUGACGGCAAGCUAAUCUCUUAAAGCCAGUCUCAGUUCGGAUUGUAGGCUGCAACUCGCCUACAUGAAGUCGGAAUCGCUAGUAAUCGCGGAUCAGCACGCCGCGGUGAAUACGUUCCCGGGCCUUGUACACA
rnacentral:rRNA from 1 species